CGCGCGCGGAAGCGUCCUGUGCGCCGUCGGUAACCGGCAGGCAGCAGCGCUGCAGUGGCGGCCACUGCCGGGUGCCCCGACGGGAGGGGCUCCGGAUCGCUGGGAGGCGGCCGAACCCCUGCGGCCCCGCCGCCGGCGGAGGCCCCAUGAGUCGGGGGACGAUGCUUCAGCCCGGAGCGUGGCCGGGGGAGAGCUGUGCCGAGAAGCCGGCGCGGGAGGCGGGGGCCGCGGCGCUGGACGGCGAGAAAGCUGUGGCCGGGGGGCAGCCGCGAGCCGCGGUGCGGUGCCCGGCCGAGCACGAGGAGGACAUGUAUCGUGCGGCGGAUGAAAUAGAAAAGGAGAAAGAAUUACUUAUACAUGAAAGAGGGUCAUCAGAACCCAGAUUAAGUGUAGCUCCUGAAAUGGAUAUCAUGGACUAUUGCAAAAAAGAAUGGAGGGGAAAUACGCAAAAAGCAACAUGUAUGAAAAAGGGCUACGAGGAGGUGUCUCAGAAAUUCACCUCCAUCAGGCGAGUCCGUGGAGAUAAUUACUGCGCGCUGAGGGCCACGCUCUUCCAGGCCAUGAGCCAGCCGGCCGCGCUGCCCUCCUGGCUGCAGGACCCGGAGCUCACGCUGUUACCAGAAAAACUCAUAAGCAAAUACAGCUGGAUCAAGCAGUGGAAGCUUGGACUGAAGUUUGAGGGGAAGAGCGAGGCCCUGGUUGAUAAAAUUAAGGAGUCCCUCACUUUACUGAGGAAGAAGUGGACAGGCUUGGCUGAACUGAGAACUGCUGAAGCGAGGCAGACAGCUUGUGAUGAACUGUUCACGAAUGAAGAAGAGGAGUACAGCCUCUACGAAGCUGUAAAAUUUCUAAUGCUAAACAGAGCCAUCGAACUAUAUGAUGAUAAAGAGAAGGGAAAGGAAGUACCAUUUUUCUCUGUGCUUCUGUUUGCUCGGGAUACGUCAAAUGACCCCGGACAGCUGCUGAGGAACCAUCUCAACCAGGUGGGACACACCGGUGGCCUUGAACAGGUUGAGAUGUUCCUUCUCGCCUACGCCGUGCGCCACGCCAUUCAGGUGUACCGGCUCUCCAAGUACAGCACCGAAGAGUUCGUCACCGUCUAUCCCACCGACCCCCCCGGGGACUGGCCGGUGGUGACCCUGAUCGCCGAGGAUGAUCGGCACUACAACAUCCCCGUCAGAGUGUGCGAGGAGACGAGUCUGUGAGACACGCUCGGGCGGCCCGGCGACUCGGCCAAGGUGCACCGGCGGCUCCUCGGCUCGGGCCUCGGGCCCGCAGGCCCCUUGGGAUGAGCUCUGAGCACUCUUGGGCCCUGUGAGCCAAGCUGGGCUGGAAUGCUCUGAAGACUAGCUUUUGAUAAUCAGAAUUAAUCAAGUUUUUUCCCUCACCUAUGAUGCAAUAUGUUUCACUGGGGGCCUUCAGAGCACACCUGUUGACAGGUGCAAACUGCAUCUCCAUAAAACAAACACAUUUGUAUCAGCGGAGACUUACUCUGGAGAGGAAAAUACGCUCAGAGCUCUCUCUAGUCGUAAACUGGCUUUCCGUUGUUUUUGAAGAUGGUAAUUUUUUUGUUUUGGUGGUAACGGGUCUCUGCAGUGCCCUUCCUGUGCACCUAUGCAGUCUGCUUACAUGGUAGGGUUCUGGGACAAAGCCUGCCAGUGGCCCAGCUGUAACAUCCUCUGAUAGUCUCAUCGAGCAGUGGUUUGGAUUUACACGUUAAUUAAAGCUCUUCUAAGCAGAUUGUCUAAUGGAAGGUUAGGAACUGGGUCCCCAGUAGUGAGUUAUUUAAAGGCUGGAGAAGGAGCUGCAGGGAGAGGCAGUGGCAGCAGGACGUCCUGGCUCUGAAGAACGUGACAGGCGCCUGCGGUUGGGAACACACCGGGUCUGGUGCUUGGUGCAGGCGCUGGGUGGUUGGCGGGCGAGCGCGGCUUGUCGCUCUCUAGGAUCGGGGCUGUUCCUUAGUCUCCACUUCCAUGGAUUCACCAUUUUAUAGUCAGAACAAGGCUUAGAUCCACCUGCUUUUUUAGAGGAGACCAAGGCCAAAUUACUAUUUUUUGGAGAAUGCUUCCAUUGCCAAAUCCGUGUGGCUCCUCUGUUGGAUGAAUAACAGCAAAGCGUCUCAGGCUUUUCAUGGGUAAGUUUAAAGAGAGCACGUGCUUAAAACUGACUGCAAAAGCAUGGCCGAGCUGCAUCUGCCCUUGAUUUGGCUAUGCCUGGGGUAGGCAGUGUUCUGGCCACGAGUGAUUGCAUGUCACAGGCUAGGGUGGUGCCUGGGGGCUGGACAGGGCAGCCCAGCUGAGCGUGGUCCGCAUUAGGGCCCGAAUCAUCCACGUGGGGUGUGUACUGUGGCCACGGCGCAAGGGAUGGGACGUGUCAUUGUUUAGGACUGUGUCAGUGGCAUCUGAAUUGGCUCAGUAUUUGUGGAUGUGGUGUUACCCUGAAGCACUGAGCUUUAUUUUAUAGUAAGUAAGAUCUUUAUUUGGUCCAAUUUAAGCUUAUAGUUUAUAAGCUAUCUAAUCUUUGGUUUUUUUUUUUUCCUCAGAGGGGCAAACCUUUUGUGAUAGUGUUAGUUUUGCUUUCACUUAAAAAUUAAAAUUCUUGGUUGAGAAAACUCAGAGGACCCAUAAAACUAUGCAGACUGUUACAUUAAUAUUGGUAUUUUUCCCAUUACCUCAUCAAUAAUAUUCAUCACGUUUUGGUAGCUACUUAUUCAUUGGAGUGUUUGAAUUAAAUUCUGCUCUAAAUGUGUGUGAAUGUGUUGGAGAGGCUUUGUUUUUCACUGUGAAAUGCAAUGGUGCCUCAAACAAGGAGGUACCUAGAAGCCAAAUGAAAGUAAAAAUGAUGAAUUCUUGUUGGCUUUGAUGCUUCAUUUUAUGUAACUUAAUUUUCAUGUAACUUAAAACAGGAAAUGCUUACCGUUCAUUCUUGAACAUUUUUAAAAGCACAACUUCAAACACUUAGGUUGUAUAAGGCAGUAGGGGUCUGUGUCCAUCUAACUGUUGGUUCAUAGCCGCUGCUGAAUUUAAUAAUAAUCGUGAUCACCUGUCUUUGCAUUUUGCGAAUGUUCUAAUCUUAGUGAACUUGAGUUGAGCUGGGCUUCUGGGCAGCUUGUUUACAUUUCAUACUUUUUUCUUGUUCCUGUGUGUGAUAUUGUUAGAGUGUGUGCAGAAAUUGUGGUCUUAACCACCCCAUUGAUAAAAUUCAAAAGGCUGCGUUUAAGUUGCUCUCUGUCCCAAGGCCUUAUUACACUCUGCUCUCAGACUGCCAUCCAGGCUUAGAGGGAUCACAGCAUAAGAGAAGUAAAGCUUUCAAAGAAACAGUCCUUCAGGAAAUAUAGAUGAUUGGCCAACUUUAAAAAUAUUUUUUUUGUUGCAACAUGCAAAUACGGUUGCCCCAAGUUUUAAUUCCAUUUUUCAUUCCUGGUCUUGGCCUGGUCGGGUGACAGCAGCAGAAUUGAAAUUGAAUUGAGACCAAAAUGGAUUCGGGAGGAUAAUCUACUCAGAGGGAAUUUCUAAAAUGAUAGUGUUCCAGAAAAAGGAAGAUAGUAGGAACGACACUGUGCUUACUUUCUAUCCCAGAGUUUAUUGCAAGAGUUCAGUGGUUUUGGACCCUAUGGUCUUGGCAGAAGGAUAAUGUCUACCUUAAACAGGCGUGACUUAUACCUUUGAGCUCAUUUAAGGUGCAUUAAACCUAAAAGAAUUUCCCUGUAACAAGUUCCAUGGAAUUAACGCUGCUCCCUCAGAACUUUUCCCGCUUCCCCUCCUCACCUGCUAAGCUCCUACAUUUACAGCAUCCAUUGAUUUCACUCAAAACACAUGGAACAGUGAUGGUGGCCGUUGAGAACAAGCUGCCAAUGUGCACUCUUUCACUUAUGAUCUCAGCGUCGGGGGGGGGGGGGGGGCGGGAUUUGAUCUGAAAUGUCAGUUCCUCUUCCUUAGAAUCCAGCAUAUCCAAAAAUGCUUUAAAAAGACAGAACAGGAUUGACCCUGCUGUCUAGAUAGAGCCAUUUACACUUUGGUUAUUCUGUUAUACAUUCGGUUAAUAUCUGGUAAAUACUGAUGAUUUUCUUUGAUUGUGGAAAACAGACAUUGCCUUUGUUUUCUUUCAUUAUUCUUUUUUCCCUCCAAUUCUAGAGCUUAUCGGGUAAAAUCUCAGGCCACAUGAAUCUCACACCUCUGUUGGAAGAAACACCUUUGUUGGUUUUUGUGUGCUUGUGUUUUCCUUUGUUUUUUAAGAGGCUGUGUUAUUCCUCCUGCCCUCUUCACCCCAAGGUGCUCUUUCACUUAAGAGUUUGUAGUCUGCAUUUUGAAGAGCUUCCAGGUGGUGACUAUUAGGUGCUGUCUCCCCUUUAAUGAUCUAGCAUUCUUACAUCACAGCAUAGAAGUAGGACUCAAAUAGACUUCCUGGCUUUUCCUCCUUUUUGGUGUUAAAGUUUGAUUGUUUUCCUCUCUGUCUCUUUCUAAAGCAAGACUUUGCAGGUACUCCCCCUUUGAAAGCCAGAAAGUGUUUUCAGAAGUAUAAACCUCCGGGGAAUGUUACUUGUAGGCAUACACAAAAAUACAUAGGUGCCUUUUUUAAAAGAUCUGUAUCUACUUAAAAACAAUAAAAAGGAAGCCCUGAAUGUGUGUGGAGUGAAUCUGAAUCUGAAAUGUGUGUGAAAGGUAUAGAAUCCCCAAACAGUUGAGCAAAGGCAGGGCACAGUGUCAAGUAAUUUAAAAAUGGCCCAAGGAACUGUAAGAAGUGAACUGAAGAAGGAGGAACUGAUUUUAGAUGAAAAAUGCCUUUUAAAAACAAAGCAACAGACGCCUGACAGACAGACCUCCAUGGCUUACGUUAUACAAGGAUAAAAAUCUGAACCGGUGGAAGACUUCUGUGCGUGGAUUCUGCAAAUUCCUUUUUCUAAAGUUUAAGUCCCCUACUUAACAGAAGGAGACUACGUAAUGCUUAACUCUUUCAGAAAAACUUCUUGGUGAUGUCUUCUGAGGGGCUGGAGAGAUCAGGGAGCCAGUGCUGAGUUAUGCAGUGAAUUAAGCCAUGGGCAGCUGAUGAUUAACACCUGCGUGACCCAGUUAAUAACUGGGAACCACGAGAAGCACAAAACUACACUGGUUCGGCUGCUCCCACCCUUGGUAGCAGUAGCAGUAGGAGCAAGGCGGGCUCGGCCGUGACCAGAAGGCGCGUGUGUGUAUGUACGAAUAUGCCUGCUUGCUGGCCUGCAGCCGCGUUGGGACGUUCUUAUGUGCGCGAGGUCCCGCAGCCUGAGACCCGGCCACAUUUGGGAGGGUCAAGCGCUCACUGAAGCUUGUGGGUAACUGACAUUUCUGAAUUAACAAGACAACCAAAGGCAGGAACGAACACUGUGAGCACCGGGGAUUGGAGGCUAUAAACAGGAAGGGGUGAUGGGACAUCCAAAGAACUUUCCCAAGUUCUCAGGGAGAAAAACGCACAAUAUGUGUCCCAUGUGUGGGUGAGGUCUGUCUAGAGAAGGUAUGUAUAAAUCUAUCAAGAAGCUGAAUUUAUUUUAAACACCAAAAGAAAAGAAAUCCCACAGAAAUUUGGAAGGGUAUUAUAGAUAUCACUAGAAAAAUUCAUAAAAUUUUUCACUGGCAUCGAAUAUACCAGUAGCCAUUUAUUUACAGAUACAGCCAUCCUCCUUACAUGGAAUCCCACGUGUCUGGGGACCAAGGAGGAGAGAGCUGGCAUUCUUUGCUUCCAGCGUGCCAGGCGCUAUAUGCUAAGCUAUUACCCCUUUGCAAAGUCUUAUAAGGUGGGUAUUCUUCUCAUGCCCACAUGGCAGCUGGGGAAGCCCAGGCUUAUAGUUUUCUGAGACCACCCAGCUGGUGAGUGGUAGGGUCAGGGUUUGAACACAGGCCGUGGGGCCUCCGGGCCCACAUCCAUGAACACGGUGUUAUGUGGCCCUGAAUUCAAGCCUAAGCUACUCUCCCUCCUUUGGCUCUCUGACCCUCCCCAACCCACCCCUUUUAAAUCAAAAUCCGCAAAGAGGGCAGUCAAGUGUCACUGAGAGCUCAGGGCCCUUGGCACCAUGCCCAGCCCUGCAUCUGAAUCCAUCUCCGGUUCACAGGGCCGGCUCUCAAAACCUUCUUGCUUUUGUUUGUUUGGGUAAGGGCCGAUUCAUUCCUCGAGCCACACUGGUUAAGAGCCAUCUCUGAGGGAGGAUUAAAGGCAGGCCUUUGAAAACUGUCUGGUAUCUGAUUAAUGAUGAGGAGCUUUCCCAGGCACUAUUAUUUGUCACACGUGCUUUUUCUCAGUGUCACAUGGUGGUUCUUUGAGGCUGGCCCUGGGCUCAGAAGGUUCAAAAAGACUCCGGAAAUAAUCUCAUGGCACAACUCAAUCGUGUUUCCUUCACUGCCUGAACAAGUGGGCACUCCCACCCAGAGCUGGAAAUGCAGUAAAACACUUUAAGAUAAAAUAAAGAACAUUUUCAGUAGAGGCCAUGUAUCAGUUAGCUAAGACUGACUUUACUUCCCCGUUCACUCUCUUAGUCUGCCUGCAGGUGCAGAAGACACCUAAGUGCUGGGAGAAGUAAAGCAGGUAUUAAAUUCUCCACUUGCUGUUUUCUGUAAGACAUCUCUGUUCUUGUAUUUCUGGCUUCUCCAGGCGAGAAUCUGAACGUAAGGUUUGCUUAGAAAUACUGUUCAUGCAGGUCAGCACUAUCCCCAGAUUUAUGUGCUUAAUUAUGUCUUUGCUGAUGGGGCUUUUAGGGGGUGAGGGUAGAGCGUGGUUGGUAUCACAGCAUCCAAUAUAAGUACCAGUGUUGUUUGGUUUAUGUUACCUUAAUGUUUUGGGGGAAAUACCUCUGUGUAACCAGAAUAAUCCUUGAUUGUUUUCUCUUGUUUCUGGGUCCAAUGUUCUCUGGCUUCACUAAACACAAAAUGAUCACUUAGCGCACCUAACGGCGUUUUAUGUCCUCACGUGCCGAUUUCACUACGUCUAUUCAGCGUUUCCUGAGAUAAUUUACAAAAAAAGUUUUCAGAUAUUUUACAUGGGCUUUGCUGACUCCUUACAUGUCUUAUCAGCAUAAAUCAACAGGAUAUCCAAGUUCACCAGGAAGUUGCUUAUGUUCAGAGCCCAAAGCACCUGGGAGCGAGAGCAGAUGCUGAAAUCAGAAAACCGAGCGGCCACGAAUAUCACGGCCUCGUUUUGUCCACACGUCUCAUCGUGAUUAUUGUUGGGAGGGUCUGGACCACACAUCUGACCAUUACAUACUGUUAUCUACCCACCGGAUAAGAAGAAAAAUGCUCCCCUACUGCUUCUGUCUUUAAGCUGAGAUGAAUAAAAGUGGUUUUUAAAAAAGCC